GAUGAACGCUGACAGAAUGCUUAACACAUGCAAGUCUUUGGCGAAGCUGUGCUUGCACAGCCUAGCCAAGGCGGACGGGUGAGUAACGCGUAAGGAACUUGCCCUGCAGUCAGGGAUAACAGACGGAAACGACUGAUAAGACCUGGUAAAGUCAGGCGGACUCAUGUCCAGCCUGAUGAAAAGAGAUGCUGCAGGAGAGCCUUGCGUCCUAUUAGCUUGUUGGUGGGGUAACGGCCCACCAAGGCGAUGAUAGGUAGCCGGCCUGAGAGGGUGGACGGCCACAAGGGGACUGAGAUACGGCCCUUACUCCUACGGGAGGCAGCAGUGGGGAAUAUUGGACAAUGGGGGCAACCCUGAUCCAGCAAUUCUGUGUGCACGAUGAAGGUUUUCGGAUUGUAAAGUGCUUUCAGCAGGGAAGAAAAAAAUGACGGUACCUGCAGAAGAAACGACGGCUAAAUACGU
rnacentral:rRNA from 1 species